AUCGUCGAAUUGUGAACAUUGAUCGCGUACGCAAUUCAUUUCGCAAUCAGAAGAAUAGGGUUCUAAGCAUUUAGGUAUGCAUAUGGCUUCACUGGCGGCUUUCGAAGUUCCUUUCUUAAGGUAAUAAUCCAUACACUUCUUGUAGCAAUCUUUUUCAAUAGAGGUUGCAUCGCCGAUGUUGCUUAAAAAUGACAACAACAAUAGCAUUACGAGUAGUGAAGUUCCCUCAAUGUCGCGUGUGCCCUUUGCCAUUCCUUCUACCAUUCUUCUUGUCUCUGCAUUGGCACGCUAUUUAUAAUCUCAAGUGAGUAAAUACAAAUGAGAUUAUAUAGAUUUUGGACAUCAAAUUU
rnacentral:lncRNA from 1 species